AAAAUCCGUCGAUUUUUUUAUCCAGGAGGGUCCAGUCCCCUCAUCCCCC
rnacentral:tRNA from 1 species